CCUACGGGUGGCAGCAGUGAGGAAUAUUGGUCAAUGGGCGCGAGCCUGAACCAGCCAAGUCGCGUGAAGGAUGACUGCCCUACGGGUUGUAAGCAUCUUUUAUCAAGGGAUAAAGUGAGGCACUUGUGCCUUUUUGUAUGUACUUUAUGAAUAAGGAUCGGCUAACUCCGUGCCGGCAGCCGCGGUAAUACGGAGGAUCCGAGCGUUAUCCGGAUUUAUUGGGUUUAACGGGAGCGUAGAUGGGUUGUUAAGUCAGUUGUGAAAGUUUGCGGCUCAACCGUAAAAUUGCAAUUGAUACUGGCAGUCUUGAGUACAGUUGAGGUAGGUGGAAUUCGAGGUGUAGCGGUGAAAUGCGUAGAGAUCACGAAGAACUCCGAUUGCGAAGGCAGCUUACUAAACUGCCACUGACAUUGAUGCGCGAAAGUGUGGGUAUCAAACAGGAUUAGAUACCCCUGUAGUC
rnacentral:rRNA from 1 species